rnacentral:tRNA from 1 species
GUUUCUGGCUGAGCGGUAAAGCGUUUGGCUUCUGAACCAGGAGUCCCUGGUUCGAACCCUGGUGGAGACU